GACGUAGGGGGCUAGCGUUGUCCGGAAUCACUGGGCGUAAAGGGCGUGUAGGCGGCUUGGCAAGUCAGUGGUGUAAGACCUGGGCUCAACCGAGGUAUUGCCAUUGAAACUGCCUGGCUUGAGGGUAGAAGAGGAGUGUGGAAUUCCCGGUGUAGCGGUGAAAUGCGUAGAGAUCGGGAGGAACACCAGUGGCGAAGGCGACACUCUGGUCUACACCUGACGCUGAGGCGCGAAAGCUAGGGGAGCAAACAGGAUUAGAUACC
rnacentral:rRNA from 1 species